rnacentral:rRNA from 1 species
CUCUUGGUUUCGGCCAAGGGAGUGGCGCACGGGUGAGUAACGCGUGGGAACCUGCCCUGGAGUGGGGGAUAACCGAGGGAAACCUCGGCUAAUACCGCAUACGUCCUGAGGGAGAAAGAUUUAUCGCUCUAGGAGGGGCCCGCGUCGGAUUAGCUAGUUGGUGGGGUAACGGCCUACCAAGGCGAUGAUCCGUAGCUGGUCUGAGAGGAUGAUCAGCCACACUGGGACUGAGACACGGCCCAGACUCCUACGGGAGGCAGCAGUGGGGAAUAUUGGACAAUGGGCGCAAGCCUGAUCCAGCAAUGCCGCGUGAGUGAUGAAGGCCUUAGGG